GUUUAGUGGGGACUGUUAGUGUUAGGUCAAGAGGUUGGACUCGAUGAUCUUGCGGUCUCUUCCAACCUAGAAAUUCUGUGAUUCUGUGAUUCUGUGACAUCAAGAAGAAGUUCUUCCCUGAGAGGGUGGUCGCACACUGGAACAGGCUCCUCAGGGUAGCAGUCACUGCACCAAGCCUGUUGGAGUUUAAGUAUUUGGACUGUGCACUUAGUCACGUGGUCUAAACUUUUGGGUAGACCUGUGUGGAGCCAGGAGUUGGACUCGAUGAUUCUUACGGGUCCCUUCCAACUCGGAAUAUUCUAUGAUUCUGUGAUUCUGUAAUGUCCUGAUACAGGCCAAGUAGUUAAGACAAUUCCCAAAUAGUUAUUUGUUUCACUCCUAGUGCCUACAGUGACAGCUGACUGCAUUUUGCUUGAACAAAAUGUGGGGAAAGCAGCAUUGCUUCCACAGAGAGCUAACAGUUAAAACGGAUCUUUAAUGCCACCUGAUACCUAAGUUUGGACUUUCCCCAGCAGAUUAAUAUCCUCUGUUGUGGUUGGGCAGGAUGGCUUCCAGGGAAUUGGUUCCUUAAAUUUCAGGUUACCAAGGUCAAAACCACUGCAAAUUGUAUUCAAACUGAACAUUUUGUUGUUCUAUAAAUCAUCAGAGAAGCUUUGAAGACUAAAUAGCUUUCCACAGCAAAAGAAACAGUAUUGCAUGAGAAGGGACAGACGCUGCAAAACAAAUGUAGACAGCCUAAUAUUCUCUAACUGAGUUCAACUGUUGAAGGUAACUUCAAAGAAUCCUGGUUCAAAUUCAGGUCUGGAGUUCAUCAGAAAUUUAAAAUGCUUCCCCAAGAUACCAGAAUGAGCAAAAUCUUAUGUGGAUGUCAAAGGAAGAAAAUGACAUUAGACGAGUAUUAUUUUAUGCCUGAAGUAUACCACUUUACAUGGUGGCUUUUAGAAUUCUGAUUUACAGAAAACUCUUCUUGUUAUAGAGAGAAAAUAGCUAUAGCAGCCAAUUAAAGAAUCAAACUCCUUCCUUAAAAUGUACCAGAAUCUUAACAAAGUCCACUAAAAUAUGGCUUUUAGGAGGACAUUAGCAAUUGUUAGUUGAAAUGCCAAAUAAACCACUAAAACUUUCCA
rnacentral:lncRNA from 1 species